CCUACUGGAGACAUCAUUGAGGCAUCUUGGUCAAUGGGCGCUAGCCUGAACCAGCCAAGUAGCGUGAAGUCUUCCUUCCCUCUUUUUUUUCCCCUUCUUUUCUCUUUUCCUCCCUUUCAUUCUUUCUACUGCUUUGCAUGUACCUUAUGAAUAAGGAUCGUCUAACUCCGUGCCAGCCGCCUCGGUAAUACUGCGGCUCCUCUCGUUAUCCGGAUUUAUUGGGUUUAAAGGGAGCGUAGGCGGGUUGUUAAGUCAGUUGUGAAAGUUUGCGGUUCAACCGUAAAAUUGCAGGGGAUACUGGCAUCCUUGAGUACAGUAGAGGUAGGCGGAAUUCGUGGUGUAGCGGUGAAAGGCUUAGAGAUCACGAAGAACUCCGAUUGAGAAGGCAGCCUGCGGGACGGUAAAUGACGCUGAUGCUCGAAAGUGGGGGGAUCAAACAGGAGGAGAGAAAAAGGGAGUC
rnacentral:rRNA from 1 species